GUGGGGAAUCUUGCGCAAUGGGCGAAAGCCUGACGCAGCCAUGCCGCGUGAAUGAUGAAGGUCUUAGGAUUGUAAAAUUCUUUCACCGGGGACGAUAAUGACGGUACCCGGAGAAGAAGCCCCGGCUAACUUCGUGCCAGCAGCCGCGGUAAUACGAAGGGGGCUAGCGUUGCUCGGAAUUACUGGGCGUAAAGGGCGCGUAGGCGGACAGUUUAGUCAGAGGUGAAAGCCCAGGGCUCAACCUUGGAAUUGCCUUUGAUACUGGCUGUCUUGAGUACGGGAGAGGUGAGUGGAACUCCGAGUGUAGAGGUGAAAUUCGUAGAUAUUCGGAAGAACACCAGUGGCGAAGGCGACUCACUGGCCCGUUACUGACGCUGAGGCGCGAAAGCGUGGGGAGCAAACAGGAUUAGAAACCCGUGUAGUCC
rnacentral:rRNA from 1 species